GUAGUACUGGGACUCUAACCAUAGGCCAUGAAUCUGGUCUUGGGACACUGUCAGGCGGGCAGUUUGACUGGGGCGGUCGCCUCCCAAAAGGUAACGGAGGCGCUCAAAGGUUCGCUCAGUACGGUCGGAAAUCGUACGUAGAGUGUAAAGGCAAAAGAGAGCUUGAUUGCAAGACAUACAGGGCGAGCAAGGAUGAAAAUCGGACUUAGUGAUCCGGUGGUUCUGCGUGGAAGGGCCAUCGCUCAACGGCUAAAAGCUACCCUGGGGAUAACAGGCUUAUCUCCACCAAGAGUCCACAUCCACGUGGAGUUUCGGCCCCUACAUGUCGUCUCCUCACACCCUGGGUCCGGUGUUGGUC
rnacentral:rRNA from 1 species